GACGAACGCUGGCGGCGUGCCUAAUACAUGCAAGUCGAGCGGACAGAUGGGAGCUUGCUCCCUGAAGUCAGCGGCGGACGGGUGAGUAACACGUGGGCAACCUGCCUGUAAGACUGGGAUAACUUCGGGAAACCGGAGCUAAUACCGGAUACGUUCUUUUCUCGCAUGAGAGAAGAUGGAAAGAUGGUUUCGGCUAUCACUUACAGAUGGGCCCGCGGCGCAUUAGCUAGUUGGUGAGGUAAUGGCUCACCAAGGCGACGAUGCGUAGCCGACCUGAGAGGGUGAUCGGCCACACUGGGACUGAGACACGGCCCAGACUCCUACGGGAGGCAGCAGUAGGGAAUCUUCCGCAAUGGACGAAAGUCUGACGGAGCAACGCCGCGUGAACGAUGAAGGCCUUCGGGUCGUAAAGUUCUGUUGUUAGGGAAGAACAAGUACCAGAGUUACUGCUGGUACCUUGACGGUACCUAACCAGAAAGCCACGGCUAACUACGUGCCAGCAGCCGCCGUAAUAC
rnacentral:rRNA from 1 species